rnacentral:rRNA from 1 species
CUGGCUCAAGAUGAACGCUGGCGGCGUGCCUAACACAUGCAAGUCGAACGGGGUAUAUAAGCGGAAGUUUACGGAUGGAAGGUUAUAUACUUAGUGGCGGACGGGUGAGUAACGCGUGGGCAACCUGCCCCGUGCCGGGGGAUACCGCCUGGAAACAGGCGCUAAUACCGCAUAAGCGCAUACAGCCGCAUGGGUGUAUGCGGAAAGCUCCGGCGGCACGGGAUGGGCCCGCGCCCGAUUAGCCAGUUGGCGGGGUAACGGCCCACCAAAGCGACGAUCGGUAGCCGGCCUGAGAGGGCGGACGGCCACAUUGGGACUGAGACACGGCCCAAACUCCUACGGGAGGCAGCAGUGGGGAAUAUUGCACAAUGGGGGAAACCCUGAUGCAGCAACGCCGCGUGGGUGAAGGAGCGUUUCGGCGCGUAAAGCCCUGUCAGCGGGGAAGAAGAAAGACGGUACCCGACCAAGAAGCCCCGGCUAACUACGUGCCAGCAGCCGCGGUAAUACGUAGGGGGCGAGCGUUAUCCGGAAUUACUGGGUGUAAAGGGAGCGUAGACGGCGAGGUAAGCCUGAAGUGGAAGCCCGCGGCCCAACCGCGGAACUGCUUUGGGAACUGUUUUGCUGGAGUAUGGGAGGGGUAAGCGGAAUUC